AAUGAAUGGUUCCAUUAAAAAGUACUUUUUGCAGAACUUUUUCUCCUUUCAAAAAUAACGGAUCUCUGACAGAAGUGACACAAACCGAUGUAAACUGAUCAUAUAUGAUGCUCAAAAUAACGAAUGUUUUUUUUUUCUGUUCUUCUGAGAGAUC